UCCCCGUUACCGGGGCAGUCUGAAUAGAAAAAUCCAACUAUUCACAGGGGUUGCGCUCGUUGAUGGACUUAACCAAACAUCUCACGACACGAGCUGACGACGGCCAUGCAACACCUGUCACUUGGCUCCUUGCGGCACUCACUGCUUUCACAGUAAUUCCAAGGAUGUCAAGCCCUGGUAAGGUUCUUCGCUUAGCAUCGAAUUAAAGAACAUGCUCCACCGCUUGUGCGGGUCCCCGUCAAUUCCUUUAUGUUUUAGCCUUGCGGCCGUACUCCACAGGCGGGAUGCUUAACGCGUUAGCUUCGCUACGGAAGGGGUCGAUACCCCCCACAGCUAGCAUCCAUAGUUUACGGCGUGGACUAC
rnacentral:misc_RNA from 1 species